GGUCUUAUUUUUAAUAGCUCUUAUACUUUUUAUAUUAUAAGAAGUUCUAACAUUGUAUACCUACAGGGUUGCUCUUUCCUGCCACUUUGUAGCCCAUGUCGUGGAAUAUAUGUGUGUCCAUAUUUUUUAAUGGAUGUUAAUCUUUGGAUAAAAGAGGAAGAAGGAUCUCCUGACACACCGUUGUUUAGUGGGUAACAGCAUUGAGACUGUUAUAGAGGUAAAUGCAGAAGCAGAACAACCAUCAGAUGUGAGAAUUAGUGCCUCAACUAGUGGGUUUGAUGAGGAGAUUUCACUAUAUGAUGGCAAAUUUUGUGGAAGUGGGUCAAUGUUCAAGCAUAUAGUGGCUGUGAAGAAGCAAGAGGAAUUGCACGUUGUUUUGAAAAUGAAUGAGUCUACAUACAAAUGGACUUUUAAGGCUGGAAUUGGAGUUGUUAUAGCACCUGAACACCCAGUUUCCGGUUUUACUCAGUACUUUGUCAUGAAUGUGUCUUUUAGAACAAAGGGCAAAGCAGCAUCAGCUUGGCAGUGGAGUUGCAUAUGCAAUGACGUUCGUGUAUCGAGAAUGUGUCUGUAGAGUAGCAGGUGCGAACAAGUGCCAUCUGAAGCUCAGUGUCAACUACUGAACCAUGUAAGGUGUAGAGGACCCAACUUUGUGUGUUGCUAGUCGAUUUCUGUACUUGCCAAUGGACGAUGCACUCUUGUUUUAUAUUUUCUCCAAAUGAACUCUAUUUUCUUAUUGCCUACUCAUUAGAAAGAGUGUUGAAAUUGUAAUCCAAAUGUACUGCUCCCGUUUAUUUCGUAUCUGUUCCGCGGUUUGUGCGUGGUUGGUACAGCCCGGUGAUCUUCUCACUUAA